UGCCUUGUGCGAACAUGUCUAUUGGUGUGAUAAUUAUCUACGCCGUGGGCUAUUUGCCGUUUAUAGCACUGCUUAUAAUCGUCUGUUCAUUCAGACAAUAUAUGACAAUU
rnacentral:rRNA from 1 species